CCUACGGGUGGCAGCAGUGAGGAAUAUUGGUCAAUGGACGGAAGGCUGAACCAGCCAAGUCGCGUGAAGGAAGAAGGAGCUAUGGGUUGUAAACUGCUUUUAUAGGGGAAUAAAGGGAGCCACGUGUGGAUAUUUGCAUGUACCCUAUGAAUAAGCAUCGGCUAACUCCGUGCCAGCAGCCGCUGUAAUACGGAGGAUGCGAGCGUUAUCCGGAUUUAUUGGGGUUAAAGGGUGCGUAGGUGGUGUUUUAAGUCAGCGGUGAAAGUUGGUGGCUCAACCCUGAAAUUGCCGUUGAAACUGUCAGACUUGCGUGUAUUUGCGGUCGUCGGAAUGCGUGGUGUAGCGGU
rnacentral:rRNA from 1 species